rnacentral:rRNA from 1 species
GAUGAACGCUGGCGGCGUGCCUAAUACAUGCAAGUCGAGCGAACAGACGAGGAGCUUUCUCCUCUGACGUUACCGGCGGACGGGUGAGUAACACGUGGAUAACCUACCUAUAAGACUGGGAUAACUUCGUGAAACCGGAGCUAAUACCGGCUAAUCUAUUUAACCGCAUGGUUCAAUAGUUUAAGACGGUUUUGCUGUCCCUUAUAGAUGAAUCCGCGCGGCAUUAGCUAGUUGGUAAGGUAACGGCUUACCAAGGCAACGAAGCGUAGCCGACCGGGAAGAGGGGUAGCCCACCCGGGAGCUGGAACACGGACCAGGCGACUGCGAGAGGGCGCAGUAGGGAAUCGUACGCAACAGGCGAGAGCAUUACAGAGCGAACCCGCGUGAGUGAUAAAGGUGUUGGGAGCGUAAUACUCUGUUAUGAGGGGAGAACAAAUGUGUAAGUAAAUAUGCACAUCUUGACGGUACCUAAACAAAAAGCCACGGCUAACUACGUG